UGCCAGCCGCCGCGGUAAUACGGAGGGUGCAAGCGUUAAUCGGAAUUACUGGGCGUAAAGCGCGCGUAGGUUGAUUGGUCAGUCAGAUGUGAAAGCCCCGGGCUCAACCUGGGAACUGCAUUCAAUACUGCCAAGCUAGAGUAUGGGAGAGGGUAGUGGAAUUCCAUGUGUAGCGGUGAAAUGCGUAGAUAUGUGGAGGAACACCCGUGGCGAAGGCGACUGCCUGGCCCAAUACUGACGCUGAGGUGCGAAAGCGUGGGUAGCGAACAGGAUAAGAUA
rnacentral:rRNA from 1 species